GUUCUUCUUUUUCUUGCUGUGGAUUGAAAAACAUUAUUUGCAGACAUGUCUGGAAGAGGAAAAGGUGGUAAAGGACUCGGGAAAGGAGGCGCUAAGCGUCACCGAAAGGUUCUUCGCGAUAAUAUCCAGGGAAUCACUAAACCCGCUAUUCGUCGUCUUGCUCGCCGUGGCGGAGUCAAGCGUAUUUCUGGCCUGAUCUAUGAAGAGACUCGCGGUGUGUUGAAGGUGUUUCUGGAGAACGUCAUUCGUGAUGCUGUUACUUACACUGAACACGCCAAAAGAAAGACCGUCACCGCCAUGGAUGUUGUGUACGCUCUGAAACGACAGGGACGCACCCUGUACGGAUUCGGAGGUUAAAUCCUUCGUGAAGAAAGGAGAAAAAAAGCCAACGGCUCUUUUAAGAGCCACCUACGUUUUUGCAGAAAGAACAAGUUUCUUGGUGGUGAAAUUAAUUAGGCUUUAUAAUUUUAUAGUAGCUUCAUGAUUGUUUUAUGUAAAUUGUAAAGCAAUUAAAACUGAGGAAUUCAAUAUUCUAUUCCAUGUUUUUUUUUCUAUGAUUGUGCUUUACAGUUAAACUAAAAUUUAAUAGGUUCUUAGACGCGUUAUUGUGCAGUUUUUGUUUUUCUUUAAUGUAGUGUAUUAACGCUUGUUCUUACAUUCAUAUAUGCAUGUCUUUUAAUGUAAGUAUAGUGUGUUCUUGAUCACAUUCACGUUGAUUAAUAAACAAGUUGUUUCUGCUUCUAAAUAAACGUUAAAAUACAGAAACUCCAGCGUGCGUAGAUAAAAAGCUUAUUAAAUUAUUCACACAAUAUUUCAGUGGGAGAUGGUAUUUGUCGAUGGGUGUGAUUAACAUUUAAAGCUUCUGAUUGGCUCGCCUACAAGUCAAGGAACGUUUAAGGUGGCCAAUGAAAUCGUUCUGUGGGUGGGGCCACAAAGACUCACAAUCACAGAAGGCCGUUCUUCCCUUUUGAAAUUAGCAUAGGGCAGUGUAUAAUAACCCGCCUCUAACAUUAAAGUGUUAUUGUUCUUUGUGUGUGUCUGACCGAAGCACCAUGCCUGAACCAGCGAAGUCAGCGCCUAAAAAGGGCUCAAAGAAGGCAGUUACUAAAACUGCCGGAAAAAGUGGAAAGAAGCGCAGAAGGUCCAGGAAGGAGAGCUACGCUAUUUACGUAUACAAAGUCCUGAAGCAGGUUCAUCCCGACACCGGAAUCUCCUCCAAGGCGAUGGGAAUCAUGAACUCUUUCGUCAACGACAUCUUCGAGCGCAUCGCCGGUGAAGCGUCUCGUCUCGCUCACUACAACAAGCGCUCCACCAUCACAUCGAGAGAGAUCCAGACCGCCGUGCGUCUGCUGCUGCCCGGUGAACUGGCCAAACACGCCGUGUCUGAGGGCACAAAGGCUGUGACCAAAUACACCAGCUCAAAGUAAAGCGAUGUCUGAUCUGAUCAGAGAACCCAAAGGCUCUUUUAAGAGCCACCCAUAUUGUCUUUAAAAAGAGCCUUGAUCUUAACAGUUCUUUAACUUUUUUAUUUGAAAACCGUGUACGAGUCCGUCACUGUUUACUGCUGUUAAGCAUCAGUCUGGUUUAGCAGAUGAACUAGAAUAUAUGGUUGCACUUUGUUUUACAGUACGAGUUUAUAGUGUACUUAAGAAAAUACUAGGUAAUGUAAGGUAACUAUUUAGCAUUUCUACAUCUUGCCAUCUUGAAUUCUCCAUAUUCUUCAUCUUGCCACCUGUUUGCCACCUGAUGUCACCUGUUGGAGUUUGGGUUCCUUGCCGCUGUCGCCUUUGGCUUGCUUAGUUGGGGACAUUUGAUAUUCAACAGUGCUUUGCAUCUGCCUACAUUGACAGCAUUUUCUUUAAGAGCUGCUGUGCAGCCAAAAUUAUAUACCAUUUAUCACUGUAAAGCUGCUUGACACAAUCUGCAUUGUAAAAAGCGCUAUAUAAAUAAAGGUGACUUGACUAUUACAUAAAUACGCCAGCAGGUGGCGAAAAAGAGUGUCUUGUGUGUUAUGUCUUAAUUUAACGAACGUAUUUACUUGAUACAAAAAAAGACUGUGCCUAAUAUAGACCCAACUCAUUAAAUAAAUAAAAUAAGUGGUUUAGAUCACCAAAGCACAAGGUUUUCUUGCAUAAUUAACAUUUUAAUUGUUUGGUCAGACAUUUUGGCUACACAUUCAUAAAUCUGGGAUUAUGUUAAACGUGGAGUUCUGUAAGUUAAAUAUGAAUAUAUUAGCAAGCGUAUGUGCACGGUACUAUAACUGCGCUUUGCAUCCGCUUUCUGCUGAUUUCUGAACGAGAUUGACUCAUGUGCUAAAUAGGCUAUACAGUUACUUCCUGGUUGUCG